UUAAAUAAAUCACAGGUGAAUAAUGAUCAUUUGAGAAUCAGAUCGAACAUCCAUAGGUUAGUGCCAUUGAACCCAUAAAUCGAAGCAAAAUCAAGAAGAAAAAAAAAUGACUACUAACAAGGACUAAAAUUUCUAAUUUAAACCAGUCGAAUAAAGAGGAUUCCAAAUAAUAGACCAGAUCACUAUGAAAUCUCAGAAAUCCUAAUGUAAAUCCAAAAAAAAAAUUUCGAAUCUAGAUCGAACACCAACCCCA
rnacentral:lncRNA from 1 species